AUUUUCCAUUAACAGGGGUUUGCUGGAGUUAAAUCAUCUCAUCCUUUAGAAGGACAUGUUAGCUGGGUAUGAAAUUCUGGAUUAGCGCUUAUUUUCUUUCAGAACUUUGAAGAUAUUCCAUUGUCUCUGGCUUCUACAGUUUCCACUGAUAAGUUACCUGGCAGCCUCAUUGUUGUUGUUCCAGUCAAGAAAAUGAUUUGUGGAAAUGAUUUUGUGGAAAAAUGAGCCAGAAAAAUCUUAUGAUGAAUCAAGAUACCACAUGAAUGGAGCAAUUUUUUUUUUCGAGACAAGCUCUUGCUCUGUCCCCCAGGCUGGAAUGCAGUGGUGCAAUCAUAGCUCACUGUUACCUCGAUUUCCCUGGCUCAAGCGAUCCUCCUGCC
rnacentral:lncRNA from 1 species